rnacentral:rRNA from 1 species
CUGGGAAACUGCCUGAUGGAGGGGGAUAACUACUGGAAACGGUAGCUAAUACCGCAUAACGUCGCAAGACCAAAGAGGGGGACCUUCGGGCCUCUUGCCAUCAGAUGUGCCCAGAUGGGAUUAGCUAGUAGGUGGGGUAACGGCUCACCUAGGCGACGAUCCCUAGCUGGUCUGAGAGGAUGACCAGCCACACUGGAACUGAGACACGGUCCAGACUCCUACGGGAGGCAGCAGUGGGGAAUAUUGCACAAUGGGCGCAAGCCUGAUGCAGCCAUGCCGCGUGUAUGAAGAAGGCCUUCGGGUUGUAAAGUACUUUCAGCGGGGAGGAAGGUGUUGUGGUUAAUAACCACAGCAAUUGACGUUACCCGCAGAAGAAGCACCGGCUAACUCCGUGCCAGCAGCCGCGGUAAUACGGAGGGUGCAAGCGUUAAUCGGAAUUACUGGGCGUAAAGCGCACGCAGGCGGUCUGUCAAGUCGGAUGUGAAAUCCCCGGGCUCAACCUGGGAACUGCAUUCGAAACUGGCAGGCUGGAGUCUUGUAGAGGGGGGUAGAAUUCCAGGUGUAGCGGUGAAAUGCGUAGAGAUCUGGAGGAAUACCGGUGGCGAAGGCGGCCCCCUGGACAAAGACUGACGCUCAGGUGCGAAAGCGUGGGGAGCCAAACAGGAUUAGAUACCCUGGUAGUCCACGCCGUAAACGAUGUCGAUUUGGAGGUUGUGCCCUUGAGGCGUGGCUUCCGGAGCUAACGCGUUAAAUCGACCGCCUGGGGAGUACGGCCGCAAGGUUAAAACUCAAAUGAAUUGACGGGGGCCCGCACAAGCGGUGGAGCAUGUGGUUUAAUUCGAUGCAACGCGAAGAACCUUACCUGGUCUUGACAUCCACAGAACUUUCCAGAGAUGGAUUGGUGCCUUCGG